UGUCGGCGACCGGCGCACGGGUGCGAACGUUCGUAUGCAACCUACCCAUUACAGGGGGAUAACACUGAGAAAUCGGUACUAAUACCCCAUAACAUCCAGGGAGGCAUCUUCUUGGGUUGAAAACUCCGGUGGUAAUGGAUGGGCAUGCGUUGUAUUAGUUAGUUGGUGGGGUAACGGCUCACCAAGACAACGAUACAUAGGGGGACUGAGAGGUUAACCCCCCACAUUGGUACUGAGACACGGACCAAACUCCUACGGGAGGCAGCAG
rnacentral:rRNA from 1 species